rnacentral:rRNA from 1 species
GACGAACGCUGGCGGCGUGCUUAACACAUGCAAGUCGAACGGAAAGGCCCUGCUUUUGUGGGGUGCUCGAGUGGCGAACGGGUGAGUAACACGUGAGUAACCUGCCCUUGACUUUGGGAUAACUUCAGGAAACUGGGGCUAAUACCGGAUAGGAGCUCCUGCUGCAUGGGGGGGGUUGGAAAGUUUCGGCGGUUGGGGAUGGACUCGCGGCUUAUCAGCUUGUUGGUGGGGUAGGGGCUUACCAAGGCUUUGACGGGUAGCCGGCCUGAGAGGGUGACCGGCCACAUUGGGACUGAGAUACGGCCCAGAAUCCUACGGGAGGCAGCAGUGGGGAACCUUGCACAAUGGGCGGAAGCCUGAUGCAGCAACGCCGCGUGCGUGAUGACGGCCUUCGGGUUGUAAACCGCUUUCGCCUGUGACGAAGCGUGAGUGACGGUAAUGGGUAAAGAAGCACCGGCUAACUACGUG